AUUGAACGCUGGCGGCAGGCUUAACACAUGCAAGUCGAGCGAGCGGCGGACGGGUGAGUAAUGUCUGGGAAACUGCCUGAUGGAGGGGGAUAACUACUGGAAACGGUAGCUAAUACCGCAUACCCUCAGAUGUGCCCAGAUGGGAUUAGCUAGUCGGUGGGUUAAUGGCUCACCUAGGCGAAGAUCCCUAGCUGGUCUGAGAGGAUGACCGGCCACACUGGAACCUAGACACGGUCCAGAGUCCGACGGGAGGCUGCAGUGGGGAAUAUUGCACAAUGGGCGCAAGCCUGAUGCAGCCAGGCCGCGUGUGUGAAGAAGGCCGUCGGGUUGUAAAGCACUUUCAGCGAGGAGGCGUUACUCGCAGAAGAAGCACCGGCUAACUCCGUGCCAGCAGCCGCGGUAAUUC
rnacentral:rRNA from 1 species